rnacentral:lncRNA from 1 species
CAGUGGCAGGAUCUCGGCUCACUGCAAGCUCCGCCUCCCAGGUUCACGCCAUUCUCCUGGCUCUGUCUCCCAAGUAGCUGGGAAUACAGGUGCCCGCCACCACGCCCAGCUAAUUUUUUUGUAUUUUUAGUAGAGACAGUGUUUCACCAUGUUAGCCAGGAUAUUCUGGAUCUCCUGACCUGGUGAUCCGCCCACCUCGGCCUCCCAAAGUGCUGGGAUUACUGGCGUGAGCCACCGUGCCCGGCCGAAAAUCAGUUAACUCUUCUUAGACCCAAUAGAGAAUUGAGGUUCAGGGCAAACUGCUGCUCCCAAAACUGGAGAGAGAUGUGACUACAGAAAACCACAGCUACGGGUAUCACAAACCCCAGCAAGAGAAACAAACAGCUGGAGCCAGUAUCCAUAGGAACACUGUAAUGUAAAUUGCUGGAGGUUCAACGUGGACUAGCUUGAGAAUUAAAAGCUCAGGGGAUGGGCAGUCUGGCUGCUGUUGCUUUGCCUAUAAAAUAAGAGGGUAUAUUACAUGAAUUAUAUGAAAUGGUACAUGGUAUAUCAUGAACAACCAGGAGAAUUAUAACAUUAAAUUUAUUCCGUCUGUCUGCAUGUUUGUACCCUUUAACCCACUUCUCUUCAUUCUCCCCAACACUCACCUUUCCCAGUCUCUUAUCUUUUUACUCUCUACUCUCAUGUGAUCAAAUUUUUUUAGCUCUCACAUAUGUGAGAACAUGUGAUAUCGCCCCAAAUUUGUC